ensembl:processed_transcript
UGUCAAUUAAACAUUUUAUUUCUUCAUGUCUUUCAAUGACUGUUGAGUAGGAAGACAGUGAUGCAAAUGCCCAAUGCAUGACUUGCUAUAUUUGUUUCUGGCAGACUGGCAUGAAGCACAUGGGGACAGAGGGGAAGUACACAACUCACCAGUGAGAAGUCAUGAUCAGGUAUUUGCAUUGCAUGUAAAGGAGACAUAAGGAGGUCAAUAAAGAAAAUAAAUGAGAGAACGUUCGAGAAUAGUUCAACAAGCAGAUUGAGAUCUGUAAGUUUGUCAAUGUCAGACAGAGAGAACAUGCGAGUUGUGUCCUAAUAUGCUGUGUUGCUGGUUGGAAAGGGAGGAGGUGUUGGUAGGCACCUUCAGAUAGCUAUUUCUGUAAUGGGAACUCAACAAGGGUCAGUCUAGAUGAACAAGCAGGUAUAUGCUUGUA